rnacentral:rRNA from 1 species
CCUACUGGGGGCUGCAGUAAGGAAUAUUGGUCAAUGGAGGAAACUCUGAACCAGCCAUCCCGCGUGAAGGAUGAAGGGGCUCUGCCUUGUAAACUUCUUUUGUCUGGGGCGAAAAAGCUCGAUUUAUCGAGAACUGACGGUACCAGAAGAAUAAGCACCGGCUAACUCCGUGCAAGCAGCCGCGGUACUACGGAGGGUGCAAGCGUUAUCCGGAAUCACGGGGUUUAAGGGGGCUUUGGGAGGCAGUGGUGAAAGGCUGGGGCUUAACCAUGGAAUUGCCAUUGAUACUGCAGAGCUUGAAUGAGGUUGAGGUUGGCGGAAUGUGACAUGUAGCGGUGAAAUGCUUAGAUAUGUCAUGGAACACCGAUUGCGAAGGCAGCUGACUGGACCUAUAUUGACGCUGAGGCACGAAAGCGUGGGGAGCGAACAGGAUUAGAUACCCUGGUAGUC